GAUGAACGCUGGCGGCGUGCCUAACACAUGCAAGUCGAACGAAGCUUGACGGAUGAUUUCUUCGGAAUGAAACCAGAUAUGACUUAGUGGCGGACGGGUGAGUAACACGUGAGCAACCUGCCUUUCAGAGGGGGAUAACGGCUGGAAACGGUCGCUAAUACCGCAUGACGUGUUCGGAUGGCAUCAUCUGAACAUCAAAGAUUUAUCGCUGAAAGAUGGGCUCGCGUCUGAUUAGAUAGUUGGUGGGGUAACGGCCUACCAAGUCUACGAUCAGUAGCCGGACUGAGAGGUUGAACGGCCACAUUGGGACUGAGAUACGGCCCAGACUCCUACGGGAGGCAGCAGUGGGGAAUAUUGCACAAUGGGGGAAACCCUGAUGCAGCAACGCCGCGUGAAGGAUGACGGUUUUCGGAUUGUAAACUUCUUUUCUUAGUGACGAAGACAGUGACGGUAGCUAAGGAAUAAGCAUCGGCUAACUACGUG
rnacentral:rRNA from 1 species